UACGAGGGGGGCGAGCGUUGUUCGGCAUUAUUGGGCGUAAAGGGCGCGUAGGCGGUCGGAUAAGUCUUGUGUGAAAUCUUCGGGCUCAACUCGAAGUCUGCACAGGAAACUAUCUGGCUUGAGUGUGGGAGAGGUGAGUGGAAUUCCUGGUGUAGCGGUGAAAUGCGUAGAUAUCAGGAGGAACACCUGUGGCGAAAGCGGCUCACUGGACCACAACUGACGCUGAGGCGCGAAAGCCAGGGGAGCAAACGGG
rnacentral:rRNA from 1 species